UACGAAGGGGGCUAGCGUUGCUCGGAAUCACUGGGCGUAAAGGGCGCGUAGGCGGCAGAUCAAGUCAGCUGUGAAAUCUCCGAGCUUAACUCGGAACUGUCAGCUGAUACUGUUUUGCUAGAGUGCGGAAGGGGCAAUCGGAAUUCUUGGUGUAGCGGUGAAAUGCGUAGAUAUCAAGAGGAACACCUGAGGUGAAGACGGGUUGCUGGGCCGACACUGACGCUGAGUGCGCGAAAGCCAGGGGAGCAAACGGG
rnacentral:rRNA from 1 species